AGAAAGGUCUAUUUAAUUAGCGACGUCGUAAACAUAACAUCCAUUAAAUAAAUAGUGGUAGCAAACUAAAGAAGGAAAUUUACCAUGUAAUGAGAACAUGAAAUUGACCCAUAUUAUUGGGCACAUUGACGUGAAUAAUGUCCAAGAAACAUACCAUUGAUAGUUAUCACCUUAAUGAGGAAAAUUUCCCUUUUACAAUAAUCAGAAAUUUCCAACGUGAAAUUUCAGUGAAGAACAGAACCAGCGAUCCACGACCGGAAAACUCGAUACGGCGGCCUCACAAACCAGACUCAAGUGACUCGAACGGAAAAGCGACAGCACUGGGACUUCGCUAGCGACGGAAGCGCGACAGACAAACGGGAGAGGAAGCUGCGUUCUGGUUGUUGUUGCUCAGCUAGAGCUCGUUAAUCCGGCGAGCUGCUAGAGCUCAUUUUCCGGCUAGCUGCUUGAGAAAGAAGACGAAAUGAACAGCAGCUGCUCUCGAUGGGUGAUUAGCGGCUGACCUCUCUUUGUCCUUUUUAGUUAGGAAUUAGGAAUUCUUUAUUGUUCAAGAAAAAAGAACAGCUGCCGUUUUCAUGGGGUCCAGGGUGUAGGAACUUUUCUUAGCUUUUUUAUGAAU
rnacentral:lncRNA from 1 species